GACGAACGCUGGCGGCGUGCUUAACACAUGCAAGUCGAACGGAUCCCAAUCAGUAGCAAUACUGAGGAAGGGUGAGUGGCGAACGGGUGAGUAACACGUGAGAAACCUAUCCUGGUCUCUGGGAUAACAGUUGGAAACAGCUGCUAAUACUGGAUGACGUCGGAGCGUCGCAUGGCGCACUGACGAAAGGGUUACUGGAUCAGGAGGGUCUCGCGGCCUAUCAGCUAGAUGGUGGGGUAACGGCCUACCAUGGCAUCGACGGGUAGCUGGUCUGAGAGGAUGAUCAGCCACACUGGGACUGAGACACGGCCCAGACUCCUACGGGAGGCAGCAGUGGGGAAUCUUGCGCAAUGGGCGAAAGCCUGACGCAGCAACGCCGCGUGCGGGAAGAAGGCCUUCGGGUUGUAAACCGCUUUCAGAAGGAACGAAAAUGACGGUACUUUCAGAAGAAGGUGCGGCCAACUACGUGCCAGCAGCCGCAGUGACACGUAGGCACCAAGCGUUGUCCGGAUUUAUUGGGCGUAAAGAGCUCGUAGGCGGUUCGGUAAGUCGGGUGUGAAAACUUUGGGCUCAACCCAAAGCGUGCAUUCGAUACUGCCAUGACUAGAGUUCGGUAGGGGAGCGGGGAAUUCCUAGUGUAGCGGUGAAAUGCGCAGAUAUUAGGAGGAACACCGGUGGCGAAGGCGCCGCUCUGGGCCGAAACUGACGCUGAGGAGCGAAAGCGUGGGUAGCAAACAGGAUUAGAUACCCUGGUAGUCCACGCCGUAAAC
rnacentral:rRNA from 1 species